GUCCCCUCUGCUCGAGCCGCGUCUCUAUGGCGGCCGCGACAGCCCACAAGGCGCAGAGCGACAUGAACGCGGAUGCUGGCGGCCAAGGCGUCGCUGCGCGGUCUCGAGAGGGCAGUCCCGUGGCGUGUGACUUCGUCCCAUCGGCGCUGGGGACGCGAGAGCAUUGGGAUGCUGUUUAUGAGAGAGAACUGAGGACAUUCCAAGAAUAUGGAGAUACAGGAGAAAUCUGGUUUGGAGAAGAGAGUAUGAACCGACUAAUAAGGUGGAUGCAGAAACAAAAGAUCCCAUUGGAUGCCUCAGUGCUUGAUAUUGGAACUGGAAAUGGUGUUUUCCUGGUUGAACUUGUGAAACAUGGUUUCUCUAAUAUAACUGGGAUUGAUUAUUCUCCUUCUGCAAUUAAGCUUUCUGCAAGCAUUUUAGAGAAAGAAGGGCUAUCUAACAUUAACUUGAAGGUAGAAGACUUUUUGAGUCUUUCCACAAAGCUGUCUGGAUUUCAUGUUUGUGUUGACAAAGGGACUUUUGAUGCCAUAAGUCUUAAUCCUGACAAUGCAGUUGAGAAGAGGAAGCAGUAUGUGAUGUCUCUCUGCAGGGUAUUGGAAGUAAAAGGCUUUUUUCUCAUAACCUCGUGUAAUUGGACCAAAGCAGAGUUGCUCGAUGUGUUCAGUGAAGGAUUUGAAUUUUUUGAAGAGCUGCCAACACCCAAGUUCAGCUUUGGAGGUAGAUCUGGAAACACUGUAGCAGCUUUGGUUUUUCAAAAAAAGUGAGACUUUCUUGGACAAAGUCAGUUAGUUUUCUCGAAGAAACUGUACAGCAAAGUAAACCUGAUACAGAAGAAGCAAGUGCAAAUAGUGCUUAACUGUCCUUUACCAGGAACUGAAUUUGAAGCAAGGCAUGACACACCUGUAAUCGUAGCAUUCAGGAGGCUGAAGGAGGAGGAACUGGAGUUAAAAGCUUGGGCUGCACAGUGAAACCUUUUCUCCAAAAACAGAAAAAAAUGUUGAAGAAAUUGCCAUGUAAACAUGAAGACCUGACUUCAGAUCCCUAGCACCUAUGAAAAGUCCUGUGUGUAGCAGCAUGUGCUUAUAAUCUCAGUGCUCCUGAGCAGAGACAAGAGGAUUCCCUGAGCCUUGAGGGCCAGGCAGCUUAGCUGUGAAUCAGUUGGCUCCAGGUUCACUGAGAACCCAUCUCAAAAAAGUUGAGAGCAAUUGAGAAAGAUAGCCUGUUGUUUUGCAUUCAACACAGUGGCUACACCUUAAGCAACUGCUAUCCCAACUGGCAGUUGCAACUCCAGUAGCAGUUUGGAUGCUCCACAGCCAGGCAGGAA